GGAAAUAUAUUAACUAAACAAUAUCAAUGCAUUCUAAAAUUGUUGAUGACCCGCAAGAAAUUCUUCAUUUUCGUCUAACAAAUAGACAUUUUUUUAAUUUUGCAUCGAACAAAUAGACAUUCUACAACCCCCAGCUGAGAAGCAUUACACUCAGGUAUACAUCCCUUUUGUAGGUGUACAAUAAACUGAGGAUACCCAGAAUAAAACUGUAUCCCAACAACUGUUUUCACAUCAAGCACAAUUGACUGUUCUAUAUCACGACAUUCAGGAGCAGGCUUAUCCUUUCUGCAACUACUCGGAGAAACGACAAUUCAUUUUCAGGCCUGAGGUCAGCUUUUCAGAUUUGAUCACGUGCGAGAUAACUUGGCAUCACAAUGAGAGAAAUAGAUGAUGCCCCUGUACUACCUCAUGUAUUGCCUUCAGGCAUACCUGAUGUAUUGCCUUCAGGCAAUAACACAAUGUACUAAAUUGGUUCACAUAAUUUAGAGAAAGAUAAUCCACACAAUGAGCAGAAGUAAAAUAUGGACGCUAAUAUAUAAUGCAGCUUAAAGUUGACAUGUUGGUAGUGUCCAGUAUACUGAAGUUGAUAGUUUCUUGACUCCUACAUAUGACACUGGAUUGCUUCUAGUCAAUUAAAUAUGCAGUAGAUAGGAAGAAAAAUACAGGAGAAUAGCACAUGACCAGUAUUGAAAGGACAUGGGAAAACUACUUAGAGGUCAAUGAAAUAUUAAUCUAGUUUGCAACUGAAAGACUCUAGAAUGAUAUCCUUAUGCUGAAAAUAAUCUGCCACUUAGUUGCUACCUUGGCAUCCCUCUGAAAUUAAAUACAUUAGCACUUAUUUUACUUAUAACAUUAAAUUAAUUGUUAAGAUAUGGAUUUAGAUAUAAAAUAACUGAAAGCUUUGAGACUUAUAUAUAGCAUCCAUUUAUUUUACCUGUAACAGAUUUACAUUUUGUUAAGUAGAUGAUUGAAAAGCAUUCUUCAUGCAGAUCUAAACUUUCCUUCACUAAAGGUCGAUAAGUGAAAAUAAGUGAUAAAUCAGUUGUACCUGUAAAUGUGCAUGAAUGGCAGAAACCUGACUGGCUUUACGGCCUAAGACCACAAGGAAGUUGUCCGCUUUUAUAUCAUGACGAAGGAAGUCCUCAAGUACAGUUACUCUACCUUCCCAAUCUGCACAGAAAAUUUUCAUUACUUUUACUUGGUGGUAAAAAAACGACUAAAUAAGGAUUCAUAAGAUUUUACUUUGGAGAUAAACAUUUUCAGUGGUAUUCUAUCAGACAUGUAGUCCAGCAUUAAUAGUCAAAAUGAUAAGAUAGAGUAAGAAAAAAAAUCAGCAUUUGAUCAGCAAGCAAAAAAUAUAUUGUUUAGAGAGUGCAUUUUCUAUCGCGAUAGUUGAAUAAUUCGUCCAAACUUGAACUAAGAAGAUAAUGGCCAUGAACUUAUACUAUCCGUCCACUCCAAACCACUUCCCAAUGCCGAAUCCCUAAUUAAGUUUGAAAUGAAACAUUAAGUUAAUAGCCAUAAAUUUAUUUUAUUAAAAUGCAGGUUGUUGUAUUGCUAAUUAAUUAACAUCCCUUACGGAAUAGUGUAUAGUCUCAUGAUGAUGUUGAUGAUCCAUUGGUUUAACAGAUUUAUAACAAAUUGUGGGAUGAUACAAAGUAGGAACAUUCAGGUAGGUACGUUCAGAUGCUAGCAGUUGCAGGGGCAAUGACAUGCCCUAGCACUCGGAAUUUAUGUUGAGACAAAAAAAUAUGCUCAAGUUCUGAAAGAAUGGUACCACUUAAUUCUUACCUACAUUUUUUCAUGGCAUAGUACUUGCUAGCACAUAUUGCAAGGAGCCAUUACAACAACAACAACAAAGCCUUUAGUCCCAAACAAGUUGGGGUAGGCUAGAGGUGAAACCCAUAAGAUCUCGCAACCAACUCAUGGCUCUGGCACAUGGAUAGCAAGCUUCCACGCACCCCUGUCCAUAGCUAGCUCUUUGUCGAUACUCCAAUCCUUCAGGUCUCUCUUAACGGACUCCUCCCAUGUCAAAAUCGGUCGACCCCGCCCUCUCUUGACAUUCUCCGCACGCUUUAGCCGUCCGCUAUGCACUGGAGCUUCUGGAGGCCUGCGCUGAAUAUGCCCAAACCAUCUCAAACGAUGUUGGACAAGCUUCUCCUCAAUUGGUGCUACCCCAACUCUAUCUCGUAUAUCAUCAUUCCGGACUCGAUCCUUCCUCGUGUGGCCACACAUCCAUCUCAACAUACGCAUCUCCGCCACACCUAACUGUUGAACAUGUCGCCUUUUAGUCGGCCAACACUCCGCGCCAUACAACAUUGCGGGUCGAACCGCCGUCCUGUAGAACUUGCCUUUUAGCUUUUGUGGCACUCUCUUGUCACAGAGAAUGCCAGAAGCUUGGCGCCACUUCAUCCAUCCGGCUUUGAUUCGAUGGUUCACAUCUUCAUCAAUACCCCCAUCCUCCUGCAACAUUGACCCCAAAUACCGAAAGGUGUCCUUCCGAGGUACCACCUGGCCAUCAAGGCUAACCUCCUCCUCCUCACAGCUAGUAGUACUGAAACCGCACAUCAUGUACUCGGUUUUAGUUCUACUAAGCCUAAACCCUUUCGAUUCCAAGGUUUGUCUCCAUAACUCUAACUUCCUAUUUACCCCCGUCCGACUAUCGUCAACUAGCACCACAUCAUCCGCAAUGAGCAUACACCAUGGGAUAUCUCCUUGUAUACCCCUUGUGACCUCAUCCAUCACCAAUGCAAAAAGAUAAGGGCUCAAAGCUGACCCCUGAUGCAGUCCUAUCUUAAUCGGGAAGUCAUCGGUGUCGACAUCACUUGUUCGAACACUUGUCACAACAUUAUUGUACAUGUCCUUGAUGAGGGUAAUGUACUUUGCUGGGACUUUGUGUUUCUCCAAGGCCCACCACAUGACAUUCCGCGGUAUCUUAUCAUAGGCCUUCUCCAAGUCAAUGAACACCAUAUGCAAGUCCUUCUUAUGCUCCCUAUAUCUCUCCAUAAGUUGUCGUACCAAGAAAAUGGCUUCCAUGGUCGACCUCCCAGGCAUGAAACCAAACUGAUUUUUGGUCACGCUUGUCAUUCUUCUUAAGCGGUGCUCAAUGACUCUCUCCCAUAGCUUCAUUGUAUGGCUCAUCAGCUUAAUUCCACGGUAAUUAGUACAACUCUGAACAUCCCCCUUGUUCUUGAAGAUUGGUACUAAUAUACUCCGUCUCCAUUCUUCUGGCAUCUUGUUUGCCCGAAAAAUGAGGUUGAAAAGCUUGGUUAGCCAUACUAUCGCUAUGUCCCCGAGAUCUUUCCACACCUCAAUGGGGAUACAAUCAGGGCCCAUCGCCUUGCCUCCUUUCAUCCUUUUUAAAGCCUCCUUCACCUCAGACUCCUGGAUGCGCCGCACAAAACGCAUGCUGGUCUCAUCAAAGGAGUCAUUCAGUUCAAUGGUAGAACUCUCAUUCUCCCCAUUGAACAGCUUGUCGAAGUACUCCCGCCAUCUAUGCUUAAUCUCUUCGUCCUUCACCAAGAGUUGGCCUGCUCCGUCCUUGAUGCAUUUGACUUGGCCAAUAUCCCUCGUCUUCCUCUCCCGGAUCUUAGCCAUCUUAUAGAUGUCCCUUUCACCUUCCUUCGUGCCUAACCGUUGGUAGAGGUCCUCAUAUGCCCGACCCCUUGCUUCACCAACAGCUCGCUUUGCGGCCUUCUUCGCCAUCUUGUACUUCUCUAUGUUGUCUGCACUCCUAUCCAGGUAUAGGCGUCUGAAGCAAUCUUUCUUCUCUUUAAGCGCCUUCUGGACAUCAUCAUUCCACCACCAGGUAUCCUUAUCUUCGCUUCUCCUUCCCCUGGACACUCCAAACUCCUCCGAGGCCACCUUACGAAUGCAAGUCGCCAUCUUCAUCCACACAUUGUCCGCAUCCCCUCCUUCCUCCCAAGGGCCCUCCUUAAAUACCCUCUCCUUAAACACCUGAUCUACCUCCCCCUUGAGCUUCCACCACUUCGUUCUAGCGACCUUGGCACGCUUAUCCCGCUGGACACGAAUCCGAAAGCGGAAGUCAGCAACCACCAGCUUAUGCUGGGGUACAACACUCUCCCCAGGUAUCACCUUACAGUCUAGGCACGCACGCCUAUCUUCUCUUCUCGAGAGGAUGAAAUCAAUCUGGCUAGAGUGUUGGCCACUACUAAAAGUCACCAGAUGUGAUUCUCUCUUUCUAAAGAGGGUGUUAGCUACAAUCAUGUUGUAGGCUAGAGCAAAGCUUAAGACAUCUUCUCCUUCUUGAUUCCUGAUGCCAUAGCCAAAGCCCCCAUGCGCCCCUUCAAAACCUGUGUUAGAUGUACCCACGUGGCCAUUGAGGUCUCCUCCUAUGAAGAGCUUCUCACCAAUCGGUACACUCCUAACCAUGUCUUCCAAGCCUUCCCAGAACUCCCUCUUGGUGUUCUCAUUGUGGCCUACUUGCGGGGCAUAUGCGUUGAUAACAUUGAGAACCAAGUCCUCAGCUACCAGCUUGACCAGGAUAAUCCGGUCCCCACGUCUCCUGACGUCUACCACUCCAUACUUGAGGCUCUUGUUGAUCAAGAUGCCUACGCCAUUUCUGUUUGCAGCCGUCCCCGUGUACCACAGCUUGAAGCCGGUAUCCUCCACCUCCUUCGCCUUCUGUCCUCUCCAUUUGGUUUCUUGGACGCAAAGGAUAUCAACACCUCUCCUCACUGCUGCAUCAACUAGCUCCCGAAGCUUCCCUGUCAGAGACCCUACGUUCCAGCUACCUAAGCGAAUCCUCCUAGGCUCGGCUAGCUUCCUUACCCUUCGCACUCGUCGAGUCAAAUGCGAAGACCCUUGCUCAUUUUCCACUACAUCCGGGCGCCGAUGUAGCGCGCCACUAAGGAUGCGACGACCCGAUCCUCGCUCACUUGCCACCGUAUCCGGAUCAAGAUACGGCGCGCAUUGCAAGGAGCCAUUCUGUAAGAAAAUAACUGUCAAAAUAGAAAUUGGCCCAAAUUAUUGUUCUCAACAUCAACACUAUCACCGUUAUUAC
rnacentral:lncRNA from 1 species